rnacentral:rRNA from 1 species
GGGCCCGAGUUGUAAUUUGUAGAGGAUGCUUUUGAUGCGGUGCCUUCCGAGUUCCCUGGAACGGGACGCCAUAGAGGGUGAGAGCCCCGUCUGGUUGGAUGCCAAAUCUCUGUAAAGCUCCUUCGACGAGUCGAGUAGUUUGGGAAUGCUGCUCUAAAUGGGAGGUAUAUGUCUUCUAAAGCUAAAUACCGGCCAGAGACCGAUAGCGCACAAGUAGAGUGAUCGAAAGAUGAAAAGCACUUUGAAAAGAGAGUUAAAAAGUACGUGAAAUUGUUGAAAGGGAAGCGUUUAUGACCAGACUUGGGCUUGGUUAAUCAUCUGGGGUUCUCCCCAGUGCACUUUUCCAGUCCAGGCCAGCAUCAGUUUUCGCCGGGGGAUAAAGGCUUCGGGAAUGUGGCUCUCUCCGGGGAGUGUUAUAGCCCGUUGCGUAAUACCCUGGCGGGGACUGAGGUUCGCGCAUCUGCAAGGAUGCUGGCGUAAUGGUCAUCAACGACCCGUCUUGAAACACGGACCAAGGAGUCGUCUUCGUAUGCGAGUGUUCGGGUGUCAAACCCCUACGCGUAAUGAAAGUGAACGCAGGUGAGAGCUUCGGCGCAUCAUCGACCGAUCCUGAUGUUCUCGGAUGGAUUUGAGUAAGAGCAUACGGGGCCGGACCCGAAAGAAGGUGAACUAUGCCUGUGUAGGGUGAAGCCAGAGGAAACUCUGGUGGAGGCUCGCAGCGGUUCUGACGUGCAAAUCGAUCGUCAAACAUGGGCAUGGGGGCGAAAGACUAAUCGAACCUUCUAGUAGCUGGUUUCCGCCGAAGUUUCCCUCAGGAUAGCAGUGUUGAACUCAGUUUUAUGAGGUAAAGCGAAUGAUUAGGGACUCGGGGGCGCUAUUUAGCCUUCAUCCAUUCUCAAACUUUAAAUAUGUAAGAAGCUCUUGUUGCUUAAUUGAACGUGAGCAUUCGAAUGUAUCAACACUAGUGGGCCAUUUUUGGUAAGCAGAACUGGCGAUGCGGGAUGAACCGAACGCGAGGUUAAGGUGCCAGAGUAGACGCUCAUCAGACACCACAAAAGGUGUUAGUACAUCUUGACAGCAGGACGGUGGCCAUGGAAGUCGGAAUCCGCUAAGGACUGUGUAACAACUCACCUGCCGAAUGUACUAGCCCUGAAAAUGGAUGGCGCUCAAGCGUCUCACCCAUACCUCGCCCUCAGGGUAGAAACGAAGCCCUGAGGAGUAGGCGGACGUGGAGGUCAGUGACGAAGC